rnacentral:rRNA from 1 species
UACGGGGGGGCAAGCGUUGUUCGGAAUUACUGGGCGUAAAGGGCUCGUAGGCGGCCAACUAAGUCGGAUGUGAAAUCCCCAGGCUUAACCUGGGAACUGCAUCCGAUACUGGAUGGCUUGAAUUCGGGAGAGGGAUGCGGAAUCCAGGUGUAGCGGUGAAAUGACGUAGAUAUCAGGAGGAACACCGGUGGCGAAGGCGCACAUCUGGCCCAAUACUGACGCUGAGGCGCG